rnacentral:rRNA from 1 species
GUGCCAGCCGCCGCGGUAAGACGAACCGAGCGAACGUUGUUCGGAAUCACUGGGCUUAAAGGGCGCGUAGGCGGGCGAUCAAGUCAGGGGUGAAAGCCCCCAGCUCAACUGGGGAAGUGCCUCUGAUACUGAUCGUCUCGAGGGGGAUAGGGGCGUGCGGAACUUCCGGUGGAGCGGUGAAAUGCGUAGAUAUCGGAAGGAACACCGGUGGCGAAAGCGGCGCGCUGGAUCCCUUCUGACGCUGAGGCGCGAAAGCCAGGGGAGCAAACGGGAUUAGAAACCCCAGUAGUCC